rnacentral:lncRNA from 1 species
UAAUAUUUUAAAACUCAUUAUUAUUUUUUAUUCUAGUUAUAGUUAGGGCUGUAAAUGAUAACCAAAAAAUUCGUAUUCGUCCGCAUCCGUAUUUUGAGAGAGAAGAGCAUUCUUUUGGUUCGUUGUGUGUGUUAUUUUUAGUACUGCUAUAACACACGGUGUCAUUGUAUCUUGAGAGAUAAGUGUCAUUGACUAAGCACCAAUAAGG